rnacentral:snRNA from 1 species
GGACGUGAAGGUGACCUGGAUGUGACACCACCGAUUGUCAGGAUUGAUUCAGCUGAUUGGAAUGGCUAGGCCAUUGUCCCCCUCCUCCCUUACCGCUGCAUGUGUCUACCUUCCAAAGCUUCAUGCUGGGCUAAAGAGGAUGACUUUUCAUGAAUAGAGGGAGGACCAGUGUUUGGUCAAGGGAAUAUGAACAGCUUCACUCUCCCACUAGAACCUCCAAACAAGCUCUCAGAUAAGGGCAGUUUAGGUGUUAACCAACUAGGUAUUGAUUGGUUGUCCAGUCUAUGUAUGACUUGGAAAGCU